UCCCAUGUGGCUCAGCUGGUAAAGAAUCCACCUGCAAUGUGGGAGACCUGGGUUCGAUCCCUGGGUUGGGAU
rnacentral:tRNA from 1 species